rnacentral:rRNA from 1 species
UACGGGGGGAGCAAGCGUUGUUCGGAUUUACUGGGCGUAAAGGGCGCGUAGGCGGCACCGCAAGUCGACUGUGAAAUCUCCGGGCUUAACUCGGAAAGGUCAGCCGAUACUGCGGGGCUAGAGUGCAGAAGGGGCAACUGGAAUUCUCGGUGUAGCGGUGAAAUGCGUAGAUAUCGAGAGGAACACCUGCGGCGAAGGCGGCUCUCUGGGACGGUACUGACGCUGAGACGCGAAAGCGUGGGGAGCGAACAGG